ACAUCCAGAGAAUUUAGCAGAGAUGCUUUAGUGCCUUCGGGAACUCUGAGACAGGUGCUGCAUGGCUGUCGUCAGCUCGUGUUGUGAAAUGUUGGGUUAAGUCCCGNAACGAGCGCAACCCUUAUCCUUUGUUGCCAGCACGUAAUGGUGGGAACUCAAAGGAGACUGCCGGUGAUAAACCGGAGGAAGGUGGGGAUGACGUCAAGUCAUCAUGGCCCUUACGAGUAGGGCUACACACGUGCUACAAUGGCGCAUACAAAGAGAAGCGACCUCGCGAGAGCAAGCGGACCUCAUAAAGUGCGUCGUAGUCCGGAUUGGAGUCUGCAACUCGACUCCAUGAAGUCGGAAUCGCUAGUAAUCGUAAAUCAGAAUGUUACGGUGAAUACGUUCCCGGGCCUUGUACACACCGCCCGUCACACCAUGGGAGUGGGUUGCAAAAGAAGUAGAUAGCUUAACCUUCGGGAGGGCGUUUACCACUUUGCGAUUCAUGACUGGGGUGAAGUCGUAACAAGGUAGGCGUAGUGCU
rnacentral:rRNA from 1 species